rnacentral:rRNA from 1 species
CUGUUGCUUCGGCGGGUAGGGUCUUCUCCGUGACCCUCCCGGCCUCCCGCCCCCGGGCGGGUCGGCGCCCGCCGGAGGAUAACCAAACUCUGAUUUAACGACGUUUCUUCUGAGUGGUACAAGCAAAUAAUCAAAACUUUUAACAACGGAUCUCUUGGUUCUGGCAUCGAUGAAGAACGCAGCGAAAUGCGAUAAGUAAUGUGAAUUGCAGAAUUCAGUGAAUCAUCGAAUCUUUGAACGCACAUUGCGCCCGCCAGCAUUCUGGCGGGCAUGCCUGUUCGAGCGUCAUUUCAACCCUCAAGCUCUGCUUGGUGUUGGGGCCCUACAGCUGAUGUAGGCCCUCAAAGGUAGUGGCGGACCCUCCCGGAGCCUCCUUUGCGUAGUAACUUUACGUCUCGCACUGGGAUCCGGAGGGACUCUUGCCGUAAAACCCCCCAAUUUUCCAAAGGUUGACCUCGGAUCAGGUAGGAAUACCC